CAAUAAGCGGAAAAGAAAAUAACUAUGAUUCUUAGUACGGCGAGUGACAGGGAAAAGCCCAAAUUUGUAAUCUGGCACUUUUUACAAGUGUCCGAGUUGUAAUUUGUAGAACUGUUAUCCGUGCUGGACCAUGUACAAGUCUGUUGAAAAGCAGCAUCAUUGAAGGUGAAAAUCCUGUAGAUGAUAUGGACUACCAGUGCAUUUGUGAUACGGUUUCUAAGAGUCGAGUUGUUUGGGAAUGCAGCUCAAAGUGGGUGGUAAAUUCCAUCUAAGGCUAAAUAUAAGUGAGAGACCGAUAGCAAACAAGUACCGUGAGGGAAAGAUGAAAAGAACUUUGAAAAUAGAGUUAACAGUACGUGAAAUUGCUGAAAGGGAAACGUUUGAAGUUAGUUUUGUAUUCGUUGGAUCAGCUUCGCAAGGAGUGUAUUCUGAUGAUAAGCAAGUCAACAUCAAUCUAUGAGUGUCGGAGAAGGGUUUUGAGAAUGUAGCAAUUUUUAUUAAUUGUGUUAUAGCUUGAGACUUGGAUACGAUGCUUUGGAUUGAGGAACGCGUAGUAAGCUUUGAGCGGAUUCGAAAGGAUCUCCUUACUAUGGAUGUUG
rnacentral:rRNA from 1 species